rnacentral:rRNA from 1 species
AGCGAACGCUGGCGGCAGGCUUAACACAUGCAAGUCGAGCGGGCAUCCUGGUGGUGUCAGCGGCAGACGGGUGAGUAACGCGUGGGAACGUGCCCUUCGUUGCGGAAUAACUCAGGGAAACUGGAGCUAAUACCGGAUACAUGCGAGAGCAGAAAGGUUUAUCUGGCGUAGGUCCGGCGCGCGUCUGAUUUGCUAGGUGGGGAGGUGACGACGCACCAAGGCGACGAUCAGUAGCUGGUCUGUGAGGAUGACCAGGCACUCUUGGACGGAGACACGGCCCAGACUCCUACGCGAUGCAGCAGUGGGUAAUAUUGCACAACCGGGGCAACCCUGAUCGCGCCAGGCCGCGUGAGUGAUGAUGGCCUUAGGGUUGUAAAGCUCUUUUCUCCGGGACUAUAAUGACGGUACCGGAGGAAUAAGCCCCGGCUAACUUCGUG